UACGUAGGGUGCGAGCGUUGUCCGGAAUUAUUGGGCGUAAAGGGCUCGUAGGCGGUUUGUCGCGUCGGGAGUGAAAACCCAGGGCUUAACCCUGGGCUGGCUUCCGAUACGGGCAGACUAGAGGUAUGCAGGGGGAGAACGGAAUUCCUGGUGUAGCGGUGAAAUGCGCAGAUAUCAGGAAGAACACCCGUGGCGAAGGCGGCUCUCUGGUACGUGACUGACGCUGAGACGCGAAAGCGUGGGGAGCGAACAGG
rnacentral:rRNA from 1 species